rnacentral:rRNA from 1 species
UACGUAGGGUGCGAGCGUUGUCCGGAAUUAUUGGGCGUAAAGAGCUCGUAGGCGGUCUGUCGCGUCGAAUGUGAAAACCCGGGGCUCAACUCCGGGCCUGCAUUCGAUACGGGCAGACUAGAGUUCGGUAGGGGAGUCUGGAAUUCCUGGUGUAGCGGUGAAAUGCGCAGAUAUCAGGAGGAACACCGGUGGCGAAGGCGGGACUCUGGGCCGAUACUGACGCUGAGGAGCGAAAGCGUGGGGAGCAAACAGG